UACAGAGGUCCCAAGCGUUGUUCGGAUUUACUGGGCGUAAAGGGUGCGUAGGCGGUGGGUUAAGUCUGACGUGAAAUCUUCAAGCUCAACUUGGAAACUGCGUCGGAUACUAGCCUGCUUGAGGAAUGGAGGGGAGACUGGAAUACUUGGUGUAGCAGUGAAAUGCGUAGAUAUCAAGUGGAACACCAGUGGCGAAGGCGAGUCUCUGGACAUUUCCUGACGCUGAGGCACGAAAGCCAGGGGAGCAAACGGG
rnacentral:rRNA from 1 species